rnacentral:rRNA from 1 species
AUGGACCUCCGGCACCACACUAUCCAACUCAGUUCGAGUCCUGGCUCGGCGGCUGCCGUGACCACGCAGCCUGGCGAUGGCGGCACGAUGAGCUCCGAGCUGUACCUUGCCGUGUGCGGCGGGAAGAAAGAGAAAGCCAUGGCGUUGCUUCGGCAACACCCUAGCGGCAUACACCAAGUCAGCGCGGAGAGGAACAACGUUCUUCAUUUAGCCGCAGAGCACGGCCACGGCGAGCUAAUCCAAGAGCUCGCCAGCUUCGGGGACAAGAGCUUGUUGUCUUCCCGGAACUCGGCUCUGGACACGCCUCUGCACUGCGCUGCGAGGGCGGGGCAUGACAAGGUCGUAUCCCUCCUCGUCCAGCUCGCGCAGGACUGCGGAGAUGAGGGCACCUUGUGGUGCAAGGACGAGGCUGGGGACACGGCCCUUCAUCUCCCGGCGAGGCUUGGCCAUGGCGCGGUGGUUGAGGCGAUGGCCUCCACGUCGCCCGACCUGGCCUCUGAGGUUAACGACGCCGGCGUGUCGCCGCUGUACUUGGCGGUGAUGAGCAGGUCGGUGCGAGCCGUCAAAGCUAUAACGACCAGGUGCGGCGACGCGUCGGCUGCCGGCCCGAGCUCGCAGAAUGCUCUGCACGCCGCCGUCUUCCAAGGCUCAGGAAUGGUCAGGCUGCUACUGGAGUGGAAGCCACGUGGCCCAUCCCUGGUUAGCCAAGCCGACGGCAACGGCAGUACUCCGCUGCAUUUCGCUUCGCCCGACGGUGACCUCUCCAUCGUACGUGGCAUCCUAAGCGCCGUGCCGCCCUCCGCGGUGCACAUGCGGGACUCUGGCGGCCUCUCUGCUCUCCAUGUCGCGGCAGGGAUGGGCCACGUCCGCGUCGCCGAGGCUCUGAUGAAAGCCUGCCCCGACGCCGCCGAGCUCAGGGACGACCGCGGCGGAACCUUCGUGCACGCCGCGGCCAGGGGAGGCCACUUCAAGGUCGUGCGGCUCGCCAUCAAGAAACCGACGCUGCACGGCAUCCUGAACACGCAGGACAGGGACGGCAACACGGCUCUCCAUCUGGCGGUGGCCGCACGCGCGCCGGCCGUGGCAGAGGCCCUGAUGUGGAAGGGGAAAGUGCAAGCGGACGUCAUGAACAAGGACGGGCAGACGCCGCUGGAUUUCGCCGCGAAAUCCACCAGUUUCUUCUCCAUGGUAAGUCUGGUGGCGACACUGGCUGCAUUCGGCGCGCAGUCAAAUCCUCAAAGGCGGGACCAUGUCCAGCAAUGGAACAGCCAUGACAUAACAAAGGCGAUAGAGAAGACGUCCGACAGCCUCGCGGUGAUCGCCGUUCUCGUUGCUGGCGUCGCCUUCACCGCGGCCAACAGCAUACCCGGCUCAUACGAGCAAGAGGGCGAUACAAUAGGGAUGGCGGUCCUCCAGAAGAAAACCGUCUUCAAAUGCUUCCUUAUCCUCGACACCUUCGCCCUGGUGACCUCCGUGCUCGCCGUGGUCCUGCUCGUCUACGGCAAGGCGUCACGCUCCGCCGUGUCGUGGAAAACCUUCACGGUAGCGCUGCACUGCCUGUGGGUGUCCCUGAUCAGCAUGGUCCUGGCAUUCUACGCGGCUCUGGCAGCCGUCACGAGGACGAGGGCAGUCCACGACAUCGCCUUCAACAUCAUAAACUCUGGCCUCUUCCUGAUGUUAGGUGUGGUCUCGCUUUUGGUCAGCCCUCACGUGUCGUUCCGCACACUGUGGAAGUACCUGUGGCGGCAAUGUGGCUUGAAAGGACGUCAAGCUUCCAUCCGUAGGCGUAUCAAGCAGCAAUAUCCAGUCGUUGGUGCUUUCGUGCGCAACCUCAUUCUGUUCAGGGUUGCAAAUUAUGUUCUUCUCCUUGUGGGCCUCGGCAUAGUCUCCACAUUUGGUCUCUCAAAAGUUGGGUAA